rnacentral:lncRNA from 1 species
UAGCCCACACCUCCGAAACUUUAAACCAGAUUCUAUUCUUCCCCUACUUAAAGUAAAUUUCAUCCUUACCCAUGCAAGAGAAAACUCAUGGGGUCCAGCCUGGACUAAGAAGAAAAGAAGAUACCCCUCCCCAAUCUUCCUUUAUGACUGUUCCCCUCCAGUUUGCUGUCAAAGUGACUGUCACUGCGGGUCCCUUCAGCCCUCCCUGCAGUUCCCUAUUAUCUUCUGGGCAUCCUUGCAUAGAUAUUUGAUUGAUUAUCCCUGGGUGAGUGCUCUGUCUACACCUGCCUGGGCUUCUAGGACUCCUGCCUCUGUGCUUCCACAUCUGCAAGGACUCCUGGCUCUGCUAAUGACUCUGAACUCCAUUGAGGAUCCUGGCUCUGCUAAGGACUCUGCACUCUGCUUAGAAUCCUGGCUCCAAUGAGGGAUCCCAAGCUCUGGCCCUGGCUCUGACAUCUACUUCCAGUGACCUUGGACAAGUUGCUCCUUCCUUCUAGAGCUCAGUCUUCCAAGUCAGAAGACAGCAGGAGAUAAUAUCCACCAUUCUCUGGCUGCCUUGGAAUAUAAUGCUGCCUUUGUGGCCCCCAUCUCUGCUCUGCCUCCUGACACCAGGCCGACUUCUGACACACAAGCCUUCUGUCAAUGCCAGGGAGAAGAGUAGAGAUACUCCAGAAGAGGGCAUCAGAUUUCGUUACGGAUGGUUGUGAGCCACCAUGUGUCUGCUGGGACCUGAACCCGGGACCUUCGGAAGAGCAGUCAGCGCUCUCAACCACUGAGCCAUCUCGCCAGCCCCCUUUCUUUUGUUUUUAAUAACUUAAAUAAACAGGGUCUUACUAUGUAACCCAGACUGGCCUUAACACCAUGGAUGAUCCUCCUGCCUCAGCCUCCCAAGUAAUGGGGUUACAAGCACAAACCACCUUGUCUGACUGUUCUUUUUUUUUUUUUUUAAAGAUUUAUUUAUUUAUAUGUAAGUACACUGUAGCUGUCUUCAGAAACUCCAGAAGAGGGAGUCAGAUCUCAUUAGGAUGGUUGUGAGCCACCAUGUGGUUGCUGGGAUUUGAACUCCAGACCUUCGGAAGAGCAGUCGGGUGCUCUUACUCACUGAGCCAUCUCACCAGCCCUAUCUGACUGUUCUUAGUAACUUUUAUUGUCCAACUUUCAAUUUAAAAAACCAAGCAUGCUGGACACGGUGGUGACUCAUGCCUGUAAUUGCACCCCACACUCCCACACAGAGGAUGAGACACAUGACCAUCAUGAGUUCCAAGCCAGCCUGGACAGAAGGAGCCCCUGUUAGAGAUGUAGAGCCAUGCAAGCAUGAAGACCUGAGUUUAUAACCCAUGUAAAUUGCAUUGUGGUCAGGCAGUGGUGGCACAUGCCUUUAAUCCUGUCACUCAGGAGCCAAAGGCAGGCGGAUCUCUGAGUGUGAGGCUAGCCUGGUCUGCAGAGCAAGUUCCAGGACAGCCAGGGCUACACACAGAAACUCCAUCUCAAAUAAACAAACCAAAACCAAAACUAUUGUGCACCUGUACCUAAAGCCCUGGGUGAGGGAUGGAGACAGAAAGAAUCCUAGGGCUUCCUGACCAGCCAGUCUGUCUACGAGUGAGCAUCGGGUUCAAGGAGAGACCCUGCCUCAGAGAUGUCAGACAGCAUAUCCCCACACAUAUAAAUAAAAAAUAAGCAGAUAAGUAAAAUAGAUCAAAAUCUGCAAAUUAUAAUUUUUAAAAUGCCUUUUUUAAAAAUUUGAUACAAGAUCUUCAUAUGUUGCUUUGACUGUCCUGGAACUUACCAUGUGGACCAGGCUGACCUCAAAUUCAGAGAGAUCCAUCCACCUGCCUCUGCCUUCCAAGCACUGGGACUAAAGAUGAAUGUCACCACACCUGCCUUUUGGAAGAGAGGUGGUGGAGAUGGGAGCCAGGGUCUCACACACACUAGGCUAGCAGUCUGUAUGAAUGCCAGGUACUUAGGAAAAGUCCCUCCUCUGCCUCUGCUAAUGCCCCCAAUUCCUUACUUUAUGUGUAGUAUACAGAUACAUGGUUUAUUUUCUAUCACACAGAGAUCUUAAUAUACCAUAAGAUCCAUUUUACUUAUUUGUGCCUUAUCUUGGGGGGGGGGUGCGGGGAAUGAACCCAUAUCAUGGAGCUGUGCCACUUCCACCCAUAUUCACCCUUUUAUUCAUUUGUUUAUUUCAAUUUUUUUCCACAAGACAGGGUCUCACCAUAUAGUCUUGAAAGUCACCAUGUAGACCACAUUGGCCUCCACCUCCAAUCCUGCUUCCACCUCCUGAGUGCUGGUGUUAAAGUCAUGUGCCGUCCCGGCAGUGGUGGCGCACGCCUUUAAUCCCAGCACUUGGGAGGCAGAGGCAGGCGGAUUUCUGAGUUCGAGGCCAGUAUGGUCUACAGUGAGUUCCAGGAUGGCCAGGGCUACACAGAGAAACCCUGUCUUGAAAAACAAAACAACAACAACAACAACAAAAAAAAGGCAUGUGUGUCCCAUGUUGCACACACCACUUUAGAGUGAACUGUUUAGAAUGCUGUAUCCUUGGGCUGGAGAGAUGGCUCAGUGGUUAAGAGCACUGACUGCUCUUCCAGAGGUCUUGAGUUCAAAUCCCAGCAACCAUGGUGGCUCACAACCUUCUGUAAUGGGAUCUGAUGCCCUCUUCUGAUGUGUCUAAAGAUAACUACAGUGUACUUAUAUAUAAUAAAUAAAUAGAGUGCUUGUGUAGUUGUCAAAACUGAAACAGUCAUCACGGCUGGUUUACAGCAGACAUUACCUCCUGCAAGGUAACUUCCCUGCGCCCAUCCCUCUCCUCCAUCCCCACCACCCUCUGGCUCUCCACUCACCCCCUCCAUUCUCCCUCUGACUCCCAUCGCACAGCACUGCCCUCCAAACAGAAAAGCACCAUCUUUAUAAGACUAGCUAUGUCUGCUGGCAAAAGAUCAUAACAGCUGGGCUGGUUGCCCAUUGAUGCCCCUCACUUGAGGAGAGAGUGGAAGGGUCACUGGACCCUCAUUUGAAGACAUCACUCCCCGAACCCUCCAGACACUUGUGUGCAACUCUGCCCUAAUUGCAGCUAGACUCCAGGCCUGGGAAGGUGCUAGACAGGGUCAGAGAAGGGGAGUUUCAUUUUCAGCUAUGGGGAAGCCACCUGCCAUGCUGGAUGCAAACCUUCCAGAUUGGCUGCUCUAGGGUCACUCAUGCUUCUGUUUGUUAGGAAGCCCCAUAGGAUAAACUCGUUUCUUCCCCGGGGUGAAUUUUGGUGGAAUUGAACUUUUUUUUAGCGGGUUGGUGGUGGCUCACACCUUUAAUCCCAGCAUUUGGGGAGUCCAAGGCAGGUGGAUCUCUGAGUUUGAGGCCAACCUGGUCUACAGAGCAAGUUCCAGGAUUGUCAUCAUUAGGUCCUAAGGACAGGUAGGCUUGUUCAUAUCUCCCCAAGGAAAAGCCUGUACAAGUUCCCAUCCUCCCUCACUUGUCCCCGGCCCCCACCCCAGCUUCCUUCACCUCUAGCCACCAGUCUCCAGGCUCUGGCAAACGCUUGUCUACUUCCUGUAUUUAGGUAUUUGCUGACAGAACAUUUCUCACCUGCAGUAUUGCCGACAGACUACUUGGCCUUUGUUUCUGACCCCUAUCGGGUAAUGCAUAAUUUCAAAGUUUAUCCAUGUUGUGCAAGAAUCAGGGCUUCUUGCCUUUGUAUGGUAAACAGAUUUAGAUUCAGAUGCAGUUUGGUUAUGCAACAUACAGGUAUGGUGGCCAUGACUGCAUUUAUUCGUUUACCAGAACCCAGGCUGGCCUCAAACUCGCAAAUCUCCUGUUUCAUUCCGCUGAAUGUUGGGGUAUGGCUCAAACUAGCCUCUGAUUCACUAGUAGCAGAGGCUAGCCUUGAUCUCCCGAUCCUUUUGCCGCUGCAUCCUCUACACCCUAAGUGCUAGAUUAGAAGUAUGUCCAACUGUACCCAGCCUGUGAGGUUUGACAUUAUUUAUCUUGUUGUUCUUGUCAUAUCUAAAAAAAGGAGUUCAAAGUUAUGAUGGGUUGCUUUCUUUUAAGGGUUUUAUAGUGUGAGGCUGGGGAGAUGGUUUAGCCAACAAAGUCCUUGCCACACAGUCAUGAAGAUCUGAUUUUUGGUCCCCCAAACCCACCUAACAUCUGGGUGUGGCAAUGCUUGUAUGUAAGUCUGGUUGUCAGGGGUUGGGGACAGAUGCACCUACAGGACUCACUGGCCAGCCAGUCUAGUCAAAAAUCAAAACAGUAAGCUGCACUGAAAAGACCUCAUUUCAAAAAGUAACAUGGAGGGCCUGUGCAACAAUGGCUCAGCAAGCAAGGCGCUUGCUACCAAGCCUGACAACCUAUACCAAUCUCCAUGCCCCAAGACAGGGCUUCUAAUGUAGCCUUGGCUGUUCUGGAACUCACUCUGUAGACCAGGCUGGCCUUGAACUCAGAAAUAGACCUGCCUCUGCCUCCCCAAGUGCUGGGAUUGAAGGUGUGAGCCACCACCAACCAACCAAAAAACAAUUUUUUUUAAAUAAAGAUCUUGUUUUUAAGUUAUGUGUAUGUGUGUGUACAUAGGUGCUUGUGAGUGAAUGGGGAUGUGUGUGUGUGUGUGUGUGUGUAUGCCCAUGUCCAUCAGGGGCUUCAGCUUCCCCUGGGGCUGAAGUUACAGGCAGUUGUACAAUAUCAAAUACUGAGGCGAGUGUUGCUUGUGCUGGCUCAUGCAAUCAGGGCAUCAGGACAAAGCCUGCAGUAUAAAGAUAACGAGUGUCCUCUUUGCAGUCCUGGCCAGCAAAGCUCCCUGGGCUUUGACUUUUUGUGGCAGGAAACCAGGCGCUAUGUGUAGAGGGAUGGAGCCUGCUCCUGCCUCCAGGAGUUGUCCAUGAGACAGCUGAGGAACUUACUGUCUGCUCCCG